GUCUGAGGGUAAUGGAUUUAUCAAUUAUCGAAAGUCAGGGUAGCUAAACACUUAUUGAGUAUAUCAAGACUCAUUACAGCCACACACAGUGAAAGAAGCCAGACACUAGAAGACAGAAAAUAACAGCAAAUUGCAGUUAACCUGAUUUUUUGAAGGUGGGAUUGCUAUCCUACCUACGCACCUACAGGCGAUUGGUACUUUAUUGCUUUCCUCUUUUCCCUUUUCUUCAUCUUCACACCUUCACAUCUUCUUCCCUAAAAGUCAGACAUACAAUGAUACCUGUUUUCUAAUUUAUUUAUAGUAAUCAACACAGAAUCCAGUCUCUGUAUUAUUGUACUCUUCUUCAGUUGUAUUUGUGUAUAUGUGAUCUUUAUUGAAGUUUGCUGCAAAACAAUAUUAAGCAGGGUAGUAGGUAUUGAAAACGCUUUCAAUGAAAAGAGAAAAAGUCAAAUAUCCAAAGCCUAGGUGGAUCUUCAAAGCUUUACAACAGCUUGUGCCCCACUGCUUGAGAGAGGAGCAAGACAGAAGAGCAGAAGAUAAACUCUGUUUAGAUCCACCUGAUUUUUCUCUGCAUGGACACAGCACAUAUGUUUUCCUCUAGAGCCUUGUUUCAUCAGAGGCAGUUACUGCCCACAAGAUGCAGACAUUCAUAGAACGUCUUGGUGUCCCACCAUAUGAAAAGACAUAUUCUUACAUGUUGCCUGUUUUCUGAGCAUGCUUUUCUGCAUGCAACUUCUGGAACAUCACAGUUUUGAGAUCUAAUUGCUUUUUGCCCAGGUUUCUCCAAGAAUCUCUUUUCUAU
rnacentral:lncRNA from 1 species